rnacentral:lncRNA from 1 species
GGGUGACUCCCGGGCGCCAUCCAAUGGGACCAGUUCCAUCUGGGCAGGCCAUCCAGAAGCUGUCAUCUCUCAGGGAUAAUGAAGGCCAGCCGCAGCACCUUACAAGGCCAUCCAGGCAGCCAGCCGCUGGAAUCCCAGGGAUUACACAGCCUCUGGAGGGCUUGGAACAGGCUCGGGUCACCUGCUGCAGACACAAGUGUGUGCCUGGGCUGCUUCUGUCUUGUGACUGAGGAAUUUUGAAAUGGCAGUGCUGAGCUCACAAAGAAGAAAAUGUCUCCUUGAUGUCACACAGUUCGCUGCCAAACCAUCCAAGCUACCUGGAAAUUAUCAAUGACUGCACGUGCCCAGCUCUUCUGGACCCUCUGAUGUUCUGUCACAUGGGAGCAAAUGGAGAGCUGGGACAUCCUUUGACCUCAGCCCUCAAAGGUUAGGAAGCGGGCCCCUCCUCCCUCCAAGAAUUCCUUUUCUCCAAGGGUGAUUAACUACCUCAGCCAUCCUUCCAGGAGGGCCAAAAAAGCUGUUUUGAAUCUGUACCGGCUCAGAAUAAUCAGUUCCUGGUAUUUCCGGCUUUGUGUGAAGCAGGAUUUCCUGUUUCAAGGCGGGCUGGCUCCCCUGUCCUGAUAUUAGGGAGUCUAUGUAAUAGAUUACUAAUCCAUACUGUUUUUGUUUUUCUAUUCAGGAUAAUUAACUUCUUGCUCAAUCCCUCAGCAUUUGACCAAAAUACCAAGAUAAAAAUGUAGGCCCGUGUUAGUACAAAAGGUCCUGCAUUCAACUGUCCUCCUUAUAUUGCCCAAGAAGUCUUGUGGAAUUCCAAGAAGAAUUCAAGGGGCCAGACCUGGAAUAUGCAUCAAUGAGAAUAAGACACUGACGAAGCUAACGACACUAACGGGGAAUGAGGAUAAUCGACUCCUGUCCUUUGUUUUACUCUUUAACCUAGUAAUAAAUCCCUUUAAAGGCC